rnacentral:tRNA from 1 species
CAGAGAGUAGUUCAAUUUAGAAUACCAGCUUUGGGAGUUGGAGAUAGAGGUUUGAUUCCUUUCUUUCUGA